rnacentral:lncRNA from 1 species
UACGAGACAGAAUAAUUCAUACCAAAAUCCUGGAUCGAGCAAAUGAUCUAGAGUAUCCUUCAGCAGCCUGAAUAGGCUGCCGUGUGGGCUACAACCAGACACUACAACAAGUAAACAAAUAACACUUGUGGCACUAACUGCCAAAGCCUGAACAUCUCAGGUUUUGAUACACACAGUUCAGACCGCUGAAUGGUCGCGGUUCAAGACGACACUUAUCCAGAUCACAUAUAAGGUCCUUCCCAAUUCUUCCCAAAAGCCCACAUUUAGGACGGAUCCAUCCGGCCACAAUUGAGGUCUAUGUUGCAGCAGUUUGAUUUACGGCCAAAUUUUUGUCAAGUCUUCUUGGAAGGGGUAACAAAAUGAUCCACUUCUCUAUUCAGUUCCUUCUAAAAUCUCAGCCCACACUAGCGAAU